CAGCCGCCACGGGAAUACGUAGGGUGCGAGCGUUAAUCGGAAUUACUGGGCGUAAAGCGCGCACAGGCGGUUGUGCAAGACAAAUGUGAAAUCCCCGAGCUUAACUUGGGAACUGCAUUUGUGACUGCACGGCUAAAGUGUGUCAGAGGGGGGUAGAAUUCCACGUGUAGCAGUGAAAUGCGUAGAUAUGUGGAGGAAUACCGAUGGCGAAGGCAGCCCCCUGGGAUAACACUGACGCUCAUGCACGAAAGCGUGGGGAGCAAACAGGAUUAGAUACCCGCGUAGUCCCUGUCUCUUAUAC
rnacentral:rRNA from 1 species